AAGCUCGGACAUUGACGAAGUCCGGAAGAAGUUCGGAGUAAAGUCAUUUGUGGCCGGAAGAAGUCUAGGCUAAGAUUCGGAGAAUAAUCGAUCACUGUAGAAAAUCGGCUGAUAGUGAAGCUCAGAGAGCGUUUGGAGCAGUCCGGUAGAUGAAUGGAGGAGCCCAUUAUUGGAGAAGUCUGGAUGGUAUUAUGGAUGCUCGGACGGUCGGGGGAGUUCGAAAAGACGCCACAC
rnacentral:lncRNA from 1 species